rnacentral:rRNA from 1 species
GAUUUUUGGCUGAGAACGGUCGGUCCGCCGUUAGGUGUGCCUCUGACUGGUCUCAGCUUCCUGGUGAGGAGGUGUGCUUCAUCGCCACUUAGUCACCGUGGUUACUUUGAAAAAAUUAGAGUGUUCAAAGCGGGCUUACGCUUGAAUAUAUUAGCAUGGAAUAACACCAUAGGACUCCUGUCCUAUUUCGUUGGUCUCGGGACGGGAGUAAUGAUUAAGAGGAACAGUUGGGGGCAUUCGUAUUUCAUUGUCAGAGGUGAAAUUCUUGUAUUUAUUAAAUACGAUCUUCUGCGAAAGCAUUUGCC